rnacentral:rRNA from 1 species
ACGGAAGGCAGCAGUGAGGAAUAUUGGUCAAUGGACGAGAGUCUGAACCAGCCAAGUAGCGUGCAGGAUGACGGCCCUAUGGGUUGUAAACUGCUUUUGUACGGGAAUAAAGUGACCUACGUGUAGGUUUUUGCAUGUACCGUAAGAAUAAGGACCGGCUAAUUCCGUGCCAGCAGCCGCGGUAAUACGGAAGGUCCGGGCGUUAUCCGGAUUUAUUGGGUUUAAAGGGAGCGUAGGCCGUGCUUUAAGCGUGUUGUGAAAUGUAGGCGCCCAACGUCUGCACUGCAGCGCGAACUGGAGCACUUGAGUGCGCGGGAAGUUGGCGGAAUUUGUGGUGUAGCGGUGAAAUGCUUAGAUAUCACGAAGAACUCCGAUUGCGAAGGCAGCUGACUGUAGCGUAACUGACGCUGAUGCUCGAAAGUGCGGGUAUCGAACAGGAUUAGAUACCCUGGUA